rnacentral:rRNA from 1 species
ACAGAGGUCCCGAGCGUUGUUCGGAUUUACUGGGCGUAAAGGGUGCGUAGGCGGUGAGGCCAGUCUGAUGUGAAAUCCCCGGGCUCAACCCGGGAACGGCAUCGGAAACUGCUUGACUAGAGUGUUGGAGGGGGGACUGGAAUUCCCGGUGUAGCAGUGAAAUGCGUAGAUAUCGGGAGGAACGCCAGUGGCGAAGGCGAGUCCCUGGACAACAACUGACGCUGAGGCACGAAAGCUAGGGGAGCAAACAG